CCCCACAGGGCGGGGCGCUGCUGAUUGGCCGCCCGCUCCCCAAGCCGGGGGGGGGCAGCCUGGGCGCCGACUGGCAGCGGCUGCGCCCGGGGAGCGCGGCGGGGGGCCGCGCCGCGGUGCAUGCCGGUCGCGCCGCGCCCGCAGCGGGCGGUUGCCGUUAACGGCCGUUUCCCGGGGCAGAGCUGCCGGCGAGCUGCGGCCUGGUGCCCCGGAGGAAGUCACAUACUCCGGGCAGCGGGAGGAAGGUUUCCACAACAAUGCUGUGGCUCUUGACCCCUCACUACAGCAUGGAUACACAGCUUUGCUGGAGAGGGCAAAAGGAGAAAGCAACACCUGGAAAACAUCUUCAAUCCUGGCAGAGAUCCACUUGACUCUACUUACUUGGGGAUGGCAAGUACAAUCAGAGCACUGUGAUACAGGUUUUGUGCUUUAAAAUGUUCUUUGAGAAAUGCCUAUUGAUGCUACAAGUACAGACGUGUUCUGUGGUCUGCUCCAAAAUGUGCUUACUGGAAGCCAACAUAACAAAGUCACCUCUCGCACAGUUGAAACAACCCAAAUGACAUCAACAACAACAGCAGACAUUCCAGGUCCCCAAGAGGCAGUACUCACAGGUGAAGAGAUUCAACUAUCCAAGCAGAGGCAAAUUAAAUCCUAACAAACUAUUAAGAAGACCAAAAAUCAAUGUACUCCUAACUGUAGCACCACUAGUGGAAUUUCAUCUACCAUAAAAUAAUUAAUCUAUUAACUCUUGUGACUGCUACCUGCUGAUCUCUGGAAAAUGGACUUAAAAGGAGGCCCAGCAUAUUCUAAUCUUUGGGUAAUGCCCAGAGGCAUUUGGUCCAGGGGCCAGGCAGGUUUCUAUAGUAUUCCUGGCUUUGCCACUGACCUGCUGGGUGACCUGGGACAAAUCACUUAACUUGAAGAUGUCUUUGGGAACACCUGUACCCAUCACAUGCGAACACCUAGAACCGGCACACCUUCCUACGUGCUGGAGACAUGCCCUUUCAGGGACAAAGGCACUCUGCUUCAACCAGAAGCCAACUGAUGUACUGCUCCCAGACUUGGGACACAACGGCACGCUAGGCAGGGGAAGGAGGGCAGCUCACAAAAGCAGUGAAUCUGUGUUAACGCAGAGUUGUCCUGUCUCCCAGUCAUACGGGUUACAGUGCCGCACACACAGCACUACUGCUUCUAGUGCUGGAUGUUCGUCACUGCUGUACUGUGCGACGCAGUCCUCGUCUCCGGGGUGGAAGAUGGGCGAUACUAACCAUGCUCAACAGAAUCUGAAUUAGGUGUCUGAAUCUGCCCACUGCAACCCUGUUGUUUGCAAAGAAUGGAUACAUCACACCACUGCUCACAGCUGGAGAAGCCAUAAUAUUCUCUCUUGGUCCUUAAUGAUCUUAUUCCUACACAGGUCAAGCAGGGCUUGACCAACAUUCCUGGUAGAAAUUUUGCUAGCAGUGGCUCUGAUGAAAAUCCCUUUGUGGGAAGAUGCCUAGGAGCUCAAACGUCACCACACCAAUACAGAGUGAGUCAUCAGCCAUCUUAGCUCAGGUUCCCUGUGCCGCUGCCACCACUCCCCCCGCCUUGUUUUAUUUAUUUUUCUCUCCUGUCCUUUUUUUAAACCAUAAACGCAGUGAUGUUACUGAAACUGUACCCCUCCUAGCAGCAGCAUCAGGAGAGUGCCCUCUUCGGUGCCCCAGGGGUAUGACACAUUAACAAGGGCAGAUAUCCUAAUGGGGUUUAGCGUAUCCAAGAGGCGAUUGUGGCUUAUCAUCAGUGGACAUAACAACAAGAUACUGGCAGGACCAAGUAUCCAUCUGCAGAAAAAGAGAUUGGAAGCAUUCCAGGAUUUCAAGGUAACAAAAGAAAGGAUUAAAAGCAUAGUUAAAAAAAAUCUAGAUAGAGGGAGAAGAAAUGAGGAAGAAUAACGACUCUCAAACUUUUUCUGGGUCUGUACUUCCCUGUUUAUAGAGGCACAGCUGAGACAAUGCAGCUGGCUCUGUGACAAAUGUGAAAAAAUAAGCCAAUUUGAGCUGGUUGUUAACAGUCGGAGCACAGUGUCUCAGAUAAAUGAGCGUCUGCUUCAGGUAUGGCAGCAGAUCUUCCUGCACUGUUCCUGAGAGACUUGCCAGGAUUGCAGCAGCCCUCAGCCAUCAAAAGCAGUAAGAAAAUGCUCUUCAAUCUCCAGUCCCUCUAACUUUGGUAAAAGGUGACCUUGAAGCAGGAUUUUCUUCUUCUUCAUGCCUUCCCCUCUUCACACCAAUUCCAUCCUUUUUCCUGUCUUACAGCUAGACAUGUUUUCUUAUUGAACAGUAGAUAAAACCAACACUCCCCAGCACAGUUGCUCAGAGUGGUAUGUGUGGGAUGUCACACCUCUAACUGUAUCACUGUCUCUAACUUGUCGUAUUUUCAGCCUGAUCUGACGUUUGCCAGGAAUCCCAGUUUGGCUUGGUACUUUUUGUCUGAGCUAACAGCCUUUAUCAGGGAAGGGGGGCAGAGAAGAGUCCAAGCAGCACCCUGCGCCUGCUUUUCUUCCUUGUCAUCAUAACUACUAAAGUCAUUUUCUCCCUUAGAUACAUAUUCUACCUGCUGAGGUUGCUCCAGGUACUAUUCUGCUUUUCUUCCUGUUUAGGGGACUGUGUGUGUGAGGGGGAAUCAAAUCCACAAAGAAAAGGAGAAAGAGAAUGAAAAGGGAAAACAACAGCUGUAGGAACCUUGUUCGCUCACCCUUGCCUUCAAAGCCUUGCAAAGUAAGAACUUCUUUGCUGCCCUUCCUAAUUCCACGGUAAAGAAAGGCUGCAUGGAGUGAUCCUUGCCACGGAUCCGAGAAAGAAGGCACAACAGGGAGCAGAAAAAUAGAGAAGGAAUGAAUAACCAUCAAGGGCAAAGAAGGAUAAAACUCCUUAUACCGAGGAAAAGGAAAGGACCAGACAUUUCCUCUAUAAGAGGCAACAGAGGUAUAGGCCUUUGUUGGCCACUUCUGACAAACACAGGGCCAAGAGGGUUUCUUGCAAGGGCCAGAACUUCACCAAGAGACAGGAGUAGCUAUGUGUAAGGGACAAAAGGUCUUCUCCAGAGCUCAGUAAGCAUCCAUGCUCUAAGACCUCUUGUGAAAUAUUCCCAUUCAAAACUUUCUUCUGUUCCAAGAUUGUAUGGCAUUUAUAUCAUGUGUAUGCAAGUGUUUAUAUCAUCACAUCAUUAUAACAGAAAAAGAUAUUUCCAAGCAACAAAACCCAAUGAUGAUGCCUGUGACAAUAGCAAGGGAUUUGGCAAGGCUGUUUGUCAAACUCUGAGGAAGAGUUUUUGAGAAAAAUAAAAAAAAUUGAAUUUCAGAUCACAAAGAUAGUCUAAAAUUCUCUAUAUUACCUAUCCGGUUUAUCAUUGAGCUGGCUUUUUUCUUUUAUUUGGAGAUCUCUACCAGAAAAACACUUUUUAUUAUUAUUAUUAUUAAAGUUGACAUGUCAAGACUCUACUUAUUCUUGUCACCGCACCAGAAUAAGCUGAAUGACUCCUUGCCUUGAAGGACUUGCAAUGCUUAUUUACACAUGAAACACCAUUCAAAUGGAGUCCAAGCUCCUAUGAGGAACCCACAUAACAAAUAAAUACAUAUACAUAUAAAUAUAUAUAUAUAUAGGUCACUGCAAUUUAUCCUGCACUUGUGAAUUUAACCUUACACACCAAAUCACCAUGAGCCAAACCAACUUGUAACUACCUACGUAAUCAGAUCACAAAACAUUAUCCAAAUUACAGGUGGGGACUGGGACAAAUAGAAGCAAAAUGAUUCAACCGCGCUCACCCAGCAGAUCAGCCAGGAAAGGGGGGGGGGG